CCUACGGGUGGCUGCAGUGAGGAAUAUUGCGCAAUGGAGGCAACUCUGACGCAGCCAUGCCGCGUGCAGGAAGAAGGCGCUACGCGUUGUAAACUGCUUUUAACCGGGAAGAAACCCCAGGACGUGUCCUGGGUUGACGGUACCGGAGGAAUAAGCACCGGCUAACUUCGUGCCAGCAGCCGCGGUAAUACGAAGGGUGCAGGCGUUAUCCGGAUUCAUUGGGUUUAAAGGGUGCGUUGAUGGGGCGUUUGAAAGCCUACAGCUCAACUGUAGAAUUGCCAUUGAUACUGGCGCUCUUGAGUGCGCUUGAAGUAGGCGGAAUGUGCCGUGUAGCGGUGAAAUGCUUAGAUAUGGCACAGAACACCAAUUGCGAAGGCAGCUUACUAAGGCGAUACUGACACUGAGGCACGAAAGCGUGGGGAUCGAACAGGAUUAGAUACCCCUGUAGUC
rnacentral:rRNA from 1 species